AGUGAACGCUGGCGGUAGGCCUAACACAUGCAAGUCGAACGGCAGCACAGUAAGAGCUUGCUCUUACGGGUGGCGAGUGGCGGACGGGUGAGGAAUACAUCGGAAUCUACUUUUUCGUGGGGGAUAACGUAGGGAAACUUACGCUAAUACCGCAUACGACCUACGGGUGAAAGCAGGGGAUCUUCGGACCUUGCGCGAUUGAAUGAGCCGAUGUCGGAUUAGCUAGUUGGCGGGGUAAAGGCCCACCAAGGCGACGAUCCGUAGCUGGUCUGAGAGGAUGAUCAGCCACACUGGAACUGAGACACGGUCCAGACUCCUACGGGAGGCAGCAGUGGGGAAUAUUGGACAAUGGGCGAAAGCAUGAUCCAGCCAUACCGCGUGGGUGAAGAAGGACUUCGGGUUGUAAAGCCCUUUUGUUGGGAAAGAAAAGCAGCAGGUUAAUACCCCGCUGUUCUGACGGUACCCAAAGAAUAAGCACCGGCUAACUUCGUG
rnacentral:rRNA from 1 species